ensembl:lncRNA
GGGGGGAGGAGAGAAGAAAAGAGGGGGGGAGAGAAGAAAAAGAGGGGGAGGAGAGAAGAAAAAGAGGGGGAGAAGAACAAGAUGGAUGGAGCUUGUAUUAAUCCAACUGUGGACCCCUCUUUCAGAGGGUCAGUCCUACACAGUCCUACACGUUUGAUUAGUGUGUGUGUGUGUGUGUGUGUGUGUGUGUGUGUGGGUUUAGGGCUAGAAUCUGUAACCGGAUUGAGCGUUACAGUAUAUAAUAAGUACUAAGCCAUCACGGUCUUGGGUUAAGUCCUCUAUUUCUCUUCUCCAACUCCCUUUCUCUCUCCCUCUUCUUUCUCUCUCUUUCUUUCUCUCUCCCUCUUCUUUCUCUCUCUUUCUUUCUCUCUCCCUCUUCUUUCUCUCUCUUUCUUUCUCUCUCCCUCUUCUUUCUCUCUCUUUCUUUCUCUCUCCCUCUUCUUUCUCUCUCUUUCUUUCUCUCUCCCUCUUCUUUCUCUCUAUCAUGGUCCUUGUUUUUCGUGAAGAAUAUAGAGGUACAGCAGAGAUUAAUAGUAGUAGGAAUAGUGAUGACCAUUACUGUAAUAACCAUAGUAUAUGACCACAGUAUACAGUAUUACCGUAAUAACCGUAAUAGGCACAGUAGAUGAUAGUAGUAACCAUAGUAUACAGUAUUACCGUAAUAACCACAGUAUAUUACAGUAGUAACCAUAGUAUACAGUAUUACCGUAAUAACCAUCAUAAGCACAGUAUAAGACAAUGGUAACCAUAGUAUACAGUAUUACCGUAAUAACCACAGUAUAUUACAGUAGUAACCAUAGUAUACAGUAUUACCGUAAUAACCAUCAUAAGCACAGUAUAAGACAAUGGUAACCAUAGUAUACAAUAUUACCGUAAUAACCACAGUAUAUUACAGUAGUAACCAUAGUAUACAGUAUUACCGUAAUAACCACAGUAUAAGACAAUAGUAACCAUAGUAUACAGUAUUACCGUAAUAACCACAGUAUAAGACAAUAGUAACCAUAGUAUACAGUAUUACCGUAAUAACCACAGUACUUCAGAAAGAGUAAAAACUCUGCAUACCUCUAAGGGAGUGUAAUACUAAGGUAGCUGAAAACCAUAGAAUUAGAAUGAGCAGAAGGUGCAUAGAACCUUGGACAAUGGCAAUUUGACAUUAUGGCCUCAUUGACUUGAAUAGAGAAAUCCCAUUCUAGUCAUUCUAUUUCUGUGCUGAAAACACAGAGUCUCCAGAAUACAAGGCAAACCAACACUGAGUUUCUUCGUAGUUGUUUUUAAUAUAGUUCCAGUAACUAAAUAUUUUAAACAAGUGUCACUUGACUAUGGAUUAAUAAUGUUAUAAUUUACUUUUUUUCUUUAUUUUUUCUCCUUCUUCUUCCAUCUUUAUAAGUUGUUGUUUGGUUUUUCCUGAAGGAAUGACGUCAGAAAAAGAGCGCCCAGAUAGUCGGUCAUCCGGAGUCGUUCUGUCUCGGUGUUGUUGCUGAGGGACAGAGCAGGGUUAGAACAGGGGGGUUCUCCCUGUCUUUGUCCAUGUUGCUGAGGGACAGAGCAGGGUUAGAACAGGGGCGUUCUCCCUGUCUUUGUCCAUGUUGCUGAGGGACAGAGCAGGGUUAGAACAGGGGGGUUCUCCCUGUCUUUGUCCAUGUUGCUGAGGGACAGAGCAGGGUUAGAACAGGGGCGUUCUCCCUGUCUUUGUCCAUGUUGCUGAGGGACAGAGCAGGGUUAGAACAGGGGCGUUCUCCCUGUCUUUGUCCAUGUUGCUGAGGGACAGAGCAGGGUUAGAACAGGGGGUUCUCCCUGUCUUUGUCCAUGUUGCUGAGGGACAGAGCAGGGUUAGAACAGGGGGUUCUCCCUGUCUUUGUCCAUGUUGCUGAGGGACAGAGCAGGGUUAGAACAGGGGGGUUCUCCCUGUCUUUGUCCAUGUUGCUGAGGGACAGAGCAGGGUUAGAACAGGGGGUUCUCCCUGUCUUUGUCCAUGUUGCUGAGGGACAGAGCAGGGUUAGAACAGGGGGGUUCUCCCUGUCUUUGUCCAUGUUGCUGAGGGACAGAGCAGGGUUAGAACAGGGGGGUUCUCCCUGUCUUCGUCCAUAAGGGGCGCUCUAGCUCAAUAGCACCAGGCGUUGUGUUUUCUCCUUCUGAUUGAGAGCCACAGAAGCACAGCCCUACUCUCAGAAGCACAGCCCUACUCUCAGAAACACAGCCCUUACUCUCCGUGCCGGGAGCAGUUUGGAAAAGGUUCCGGAAUCGUGUGGUGAAAGGAGUCUUAGAACAUUAGAACACAGCAACAGAACGCAGAACCAACAGAUCCACUGUCCAUUCUAUCCAGGGUAAGAGGUGUGUGAGAAAGAAGGAUGAGUUAGCAUCAGUAUUCGAUUCACAGUCUUAGUGGAUCCAGAGUCCACUAUCCUCUCCUGUACGUACACACUCAGACAUUCACACACACACUAUCCUAUGUCCCUUCAUCUCUGUUCUUUCAGACAAUCCAUCAUCCUAUUGUACUUGUACCAUGGAUGGUUGGUCUGGAUAAACGGAUGGAUGCACAACGCAGGGAAAGGAUGAAAGGAAACACUCCUUUGUAAAAGUGGGAGGAAACGGGGAGGAAUUUGAGCGUAGCACACUUGGACGUAAUGCCAACACGCAUCCUUCAUUUCCUUCCUAGCAAUCAUUGACAUUCAGGCUGUGUCGUCUGUAAACCUGAAGCUCAGAUGGUAGAGGGAAUGGGAGGGGUAAGGAGGGAGGGAGGACGGGUGGAGAGGAGGGGGAGGAGGAGGAAGAGGAGAGGAGGAGGGAGAGGAGAGAAGAGAAGGAGGGAGCAGGGGAGGGGAGGAGGAGGGGGAGGAGAGGAGGAGGGGAGGAGGGAAAGGAUGGGAGAUGAAAGGAAGGGGGGAGGUGAGGAGUGGGGCUGCACUAUGGGCAGAGAGAGACAGAGCAUGAAUUCCAGCUGGGGAGGAGGAGAAGAGUAGAAGGAAGGUAAAGGAGAGGAAAAGGCUGCAGUAUCACCACUGCACAACAUGGACAGUGUGAGAGAGAAAGCGUGUGGCGAGGGCACAAAGAACUGGGUGAUGCAUCCUUAUCCUGUUUUAUUGUUCUCUAUGUCAGACAGCUCUAUUCUUGUUUUGUCUCUGUGAGUUUUGAGAUAGUUGUUCGAACAGUGUGUUCUAAUCUAAUUUCUGGAAUCCCCUUAGUUCUAGAAUCCCCUCAGUUCUGGAUUCCCCUCAGUUCUGGAAUCCCCUCAGUUCUGGAAUCCCCUCAGUUCUAGAAUCCCCUCAGUUCUAGAAUCCCCUCAGUUCUAGAAUCCCCUCAGUUCUGGAAUCCCCUCAGUUCUAGAAUCCCCUCAGGUCCAGAAUAACCUCUCAGGUCCAGAAUAACCUCUCAGGUCCAGAAUGUCUCCAAAGAGUACAGCCACGUCCUCUCCUUAGGACGGAUGAAUUAACCCCUUCUCUGCAGACACACACACACAUACAGUAGACAUGCCCCAAUGACCCUCCUCUAGUAAUAAACCCCCUGGGGGUUUUCUGGCGUAGCAGUCCAAUGGUCCUAACAGAGACCUGUAGUCUAAACCUGUUUAAUCAACCCAACCUGUAUCAGACUCUCCCUUAGGAAAGAUCCACAGGGUUCCAUUCUGUGUACUCUUUCACUCAUCACUCCUGCAUGCGUUUGGUUAUCCUUUCCUGCACGCACGCACACGUAAACACAUAAACACACACGCUGACAGCAGUGCGGGGAGAUCCAUAGGGAAGGUUUGGGUGUGUGUACUGCUGGGUGUGUGUACUACUGUUCACUGUUAGUCCUACAGUAAUUGUAUUGUACUACUGCUGUUACUAGGACUAGUAUACAUAGUCUCUUCAAACAGUUCGAGCUGUUCUAUUUCAGGUUAUACGGAGGGUAUGAAUAUCGUUGUACAAGUUAAAUAUGUAUGGCCUUCUAUCUCGCAAUAAAUGUUUUUAACAUAAACCAAACAUAGAACACGGAUGACACAGGCGUUGAUGUGCCGUCGUUGUUGUGAACUACCUCUGUAUGCCGUCGUUGUUGUGAACUAGCUCUGUAUGCCGUCGUUGUUGUGAACUACCUCUGUAU